UGUUACCUACGGGGGGCAGCAGUGGGGAAUAUUGCACAAUGGGGAAAACCCUGAUGCAGCAACGCCGCGUGAGUGAAGAAGUCAUUCGUGAUGUAAAGCUCUAUCAGCAGGGAAGAAAAUGACGGUACCUGAGUAAGAAGCCCCGGCUAACUACGUGCCAGCAGCCGCGGUAAUACGUAGGGGGCAAGCGUUAUCCGGAUUUACUGGGUGUAAAGGGAGCGUAGACGGCAGUGCAAGUCUGAAGUGAAAGGCAAGGGCUCAACCCUUGGACUGCUUUGGAAACUGUGCUGCUCGAGUGUCGGAGG
rnacentral:rRNA from 1 species